UGGGGAAUAUUGCACAAUGGGCGCAAGCCUGAUGCAGCCAUGCCGCGUGUGUGAAGAAGGCCUUCGGGUUGUAAAGCACUUUCAGCGAGGAGGAAGGUGGUGAACUUAAUACGUUCAUCAAUUGACGUUACUCGCAGAAGAAGCACCGGCUAACUCCGUGCCAGCAGCCGCGGUAAUACGGAGGGUGCAAGCGUUAAUCGGAAUUACUGGGCGUAAAGCGCACGCAGGCGGUUUGUUAAGUCAGAUGUGAAAUCCCCGGGCUCAACCUGGGAACUGCAUUUGAAACUGGCAAGCUAGAGUCUCGUAGAGGGGGGUAGAAUUCCAGGUGUAGCGGUGAAAUGCGUAGAGAUCUGGAGGAAUACCGGUGGCGAAGGCGGCCCCCUGGACGAAGACUGACGCUCAGGUGCGAAAGCGUGGGGCAGCAAACAGGAUUAGAUACCCUGGUAGUCCACGCUGUAAACGAUGUCGAUUUGGAGGUUGUGCCCUUGAGGCGUGGCUUCCGGAGCUAACGCGUUAAAUCGACCGCCUGGGGAGUACGGCCGCAAGGUUAAAACUUAAAGGAAUUGACGGGGUCAUAGCUGUUUCCU
rnacentral:rRNA from 1 species